CCAAACUGUUGCCUCGGCGGGAUCUCUGCCCCGGGUGCGUCGCAGCCCCGGACCAAGGCGCCCGCCGGAGGACCAACCAAAACUCUUUUUGUAUACCCCCUCGCGGGUUUUUUUAUAAUCUGAGCCUUCUCGGCGCCUCUCGUAGGCGUUUCGAAAAUGAAUCAAAACUUUCAACAACGGAUCUCUUGGUUCUGGCAUCGAUGAAGAACGCAGCGAAAUGCGAUAAGUAAUGUGAAUUGCAGAAUUCAGUGAAUCAUCGAAUCUUUGAACGCACAUUGCGCCCGCCAGUAUUCUGGCGGGCAUGCCUGUCCGAGCGUCAUUUCAACCCUCGAACCCCUCCGGGGGGUCGGCGUUGGGGAUCGGCCCUGCCUCUUGGCGGUGGCCGUCUCCGAAAUACAGUGGCGGUCUCGCCGCAGCCUCUCCUGCGCAGUAGUUUGCACACUCGCAUCGGGAGCGCGGCGCGUCCACAGCCGUUAAACACCCAACUUCUGAAAUGUUGACCUCGGAUCAGGUAGGAAUACCCGCUGAACUUAAGCAUAUCAAAAGCCCGGAGGAAA
rnacentral:rRNA from 1 species